UCCGGGGAGUAAUCCUCAUCACUUCCCAGGGGCUCCACGCCACUUGGGUCCCGGGUCGAGGCCUUUCCUGCCUGGAAUUAAAUGUCUUUUGAUAAAUCAUCACCUGGAGCACAGUGGAUUCCGGUGGAUUGAGAUCUCGUAAAAAAAUGCAGUGAACCGAUUCCGAUAAAAUAAAAAACCGGAUAAAUUUCUGAAUCCUGGGGUCUAGAUCGAGCCUUCCCCGAAGACGAGACUUACGAGGCAACACCUGGCACCACAUGGCACCAAUCAAUAUAUGAUAUAGAGAGUGGAAUAUUCGCCAUCAGGUCAGGCACUCGAAGAUCUCGGCCUGCAGAGUCUAAGGGACACAUUCUGAUAUCAAUCCUCAAGAACGUCUGAAUGUCCACCAGAGUGCAUAGUCCAAUAUGACAGACCCCAGACAAUGCCAAUACAUAAUACAUCACUAUCUCCGUCUUGUUGCGUCUUGUUGCGACUACACGAAUAAUUUUACAGCAUAUCGCGAAACUACUGCAGGUCCAAUGUUCAUUCAAUAUUUCCCAGCGUUUUCUUUAUUUUAUUCAAUUGCGGACUUGCCGUAUGUCACGUUGGCCAUUUCCUUGGUCUUCCGUAUUGACGUCUGAAUAUUUUUUUAUCAAAUUCAUUCCUGGGAAAGUUGUAAUUAAAUAUCGAGAUUUGCGUAAUUUUUAUUG